CUGAGAUACGCCCGAUUUGACGAA
rnacentral:miRNA from 1 species